rnacentral:rRNA from 1 species
UAGAGUUCUGGCUCAGGACGAACGCUGGCGGCGUGCUUAACACAUCAAGUGAACGAUGACCACUUCGGUGGGAUUAGUGGCGAACGGGUGAGUAACACGUGGGCAAUCUGCCCUGCACUCUGGGACAAGCCCUGGAAACGGGGUCUAAUACCGGAUAUUGACCUUCACGGGCAUCUGUGAGGUUCGAAAGCUCCGGCGGUGCAGGAUGAGCCCGCGGCCUAUCAGCUUGUUGGUGAGGUAAUGGCUCACCAAGGCGACGACGGGUAGCCGGCCUGAGAGGGCGACCGGCCACACUGGGACUGAGACACGGCCCAGAUCCUACGGGAGGCAGCAGUGGGGAAUAUUGCACAAUGGGCGAAAGCCUGAUGCAGCGACGCCGCGUGAGGGAUGACGGCCUUCGGGUUGUAAACCUCUUUCAGCAGGGAAGAAGCGAAAGUGACGGUACCUGCAGAAGAAGCGCCGGCUAACUACGUGCCAGCAGCCGCGGUAAUACGUAGGGCGCAAGCGUUGUCCGGAAUUAUUGGGCGUAAAGAGCUCGUAGGCGGCUUGUCACGUCGGUUGUGAAAGCCCGGGGCUUAACCCCGGGCAGCGCAGGCUAGAGUUCGGUAGGGGAGAUCGGACAGAUAUCAGGAGGAACACCGGCGAAGGCGGUGACG